AACCUGCGGAGGGAUCAUUACUGAGUUACCGCUCAUCAACCCUUUGUGAACAUACCUUAACUGUUGCUUCGGCGGGUAGGCGCCCCCUAAAAAGGACGUCUCCCGGCCCUCUCCCGUCCGCGGGUGGGGCGCCCGCCGGAGGAUAACCAAACUCUGAUUUAACGACGUUUCUUCUGAGUGACACAAGCAAAUAAUCAAAACUUUUAACAACGGAUCUCUUGGUUCUGGCAUCGAUGAAGAACGCAGCGAAAUGCGAUAAGUAAUGUGAAUUGCAGAAUUCAGUGAAUCAUCGAAUCUUUGAACGCACAUUGCGCCCGCCAGCAUUCUGGCGGGCAUGCCUGUUCGAGCGUCAUUUCAACCCUCAAGCUCUGCUUGGUGUUGGGGCUCUACGGUUGACGUAGGCCCUUAAAGGUAGUGGCGGACCCUCUCGGAGCCUCCUUUGCGUAGUAACAUUUCGUCUCGCAUUGGGAUUCGGAGGGACUCUAGCCGUAAAACCCCCAAUUUUACUAAGGUUGACCUCGGAUCAGGUAGGAAUACCCGCUGAACUUAAGCAUAUCAAUAAGCGGAGG
rnacentral:rRNA from 1 species